rnacentral:rRNA from 1 species
GAUGAACGCUGGCGGCGUGCUUAACACAUGCAAGUCGAACGAUUGAAGCUGGAGCUUGCUCCGGCCGAUUUAGUGGCGGACGGGUGAGUAACGCGUGGGUAACCUGCCUCAUACAGGGGGAUAGCAGUUGGAAACGACUGGUAAAACCGCAUAAGCGCACGGUGUCGCAUGACACAGUGUGAAAACACUCCGGUGGUAUGAGAUGGACCCGCGUCUGAUUAGCUAGUUGGUGAGGUAACGGCCCACCAAGGCGACGAUCAGUAGCCGGCCUGAGAGGGUGAACGGCCACAUUGGGACUGAGACACGGCCCAAACUCCUACGGGAGGCAGCAGUGGGGAAUAUUGCACAAUGGGGGAAACCCUGAUGCAGCGACGCCGCGUGAGUGAUGAAGUAUUUCGGUAUGUAAAGCUCUAUCAGCAGGGAAGAUAAUGACGGUACCUGACUAAGAAGCACCGG